rnacentral:rRNA from 1 species
UACGGGGGGGGCAAGCGUUGUUCGGAAUUACUGGGCGUAAAGGGCGCGUAGGCGGCUUUUCAAGUCGGGCGUGAAAUCUCCGGGCUUAACCCGGAAGGGUCGUUCGAUACUGUUGAGCUAGAGUGUGGAAGAGGCAACUAGAAUUCCGUGUGUAGCGGUGAAAUGUGUAGAUAUACGGAGGAAUACCUGAGGCGAAGGCGGGUUGCUGGGCCAACACUGACGCUGAGGCGCGAAAGCCAGGGGAGCAAACGGG